GGAUGGAGAUGAAAAUUAUAAUGGUAAAAGCUUGCCAGAUUAUACAAAUGAGGAGUUGCUUGGCUUUAGGAAAAAAUAUGUUUGUGACUGGAUCCUUGACAACGACAACAUCCGAAUAUUCGACACCUUGGAAUGAUUUGGAUUAAUAUAGGAUUUUAAUAGGAAAAGAAAGACGGAUAAAAUUUUGAUUUCUGUAGUCCUUCAUGAAGACAUUGUACAGAUGUAUAUUAUGUUAAGUGCAU
rnacentral:sRNA from 1 species